AAUCAACGCUGGCGGCGUGCCUCAGACAUGCAAGUCGAACGAUUAAAGCUCCCUUCGGGGAGUGCAUAGAGUGGCGCACGGGUGAGUAACACGUAAGUAAUCUACCUUUGAGUGGGGAAUAACGUUCGGAAACGGACGCUAAUACCGCAUAAUGCAGCGGCAUCGCAAGAUGACAGUUGUUAAAGGAGCAAUCCGCUUAAAGAGGAGCUUGCGGCAGAUUAGCUUGUUGGUAAGGUAACGGCUUACCAAGGCUACGAUCUGUAUCCGGUCUAAGAGGACGGUCGGACACACUGACACUGAAUAACGGGUCAGACUCCUACGGGAGGCAGCAGUCGGGAAUUUUGGGCAAUGGGCGAAAGCCUGACCCAGCAACGCCGCGUGAAGGAUGAAGUAUUUCGGUAUGUAAACUUCGGAAGAAUAGGAAGAAUAAAUGACGGUACUAUUUAUAAGCUCCGGCUAACUACGUGCCAGCAGCCGCAGUAAU
rnacentral:rRNA from 1 species